rnacentral:rRNA from 1 species
AUUGAACGCUGGCGGCAGGCCUAACACAUGCAAGUCGAGCGAGCGGCGGACGGGUGAGUAAUGUAUGGGGACUGCCCGAUAGAGGCGGAUAACUACUGGAAACGGUAGCUAAUACCGCAUACUAUCGGAUAACCCAUAUGGGAUUAGCUAGUAGGUGAGGUAAUGGCCCACCUAGGCAACGAGCCCUAGCUGGUCUGAGAGGGUUAUCAGCCACACGGGGAGUGAGACACGGCCCAGACUCCUACGGAUGCAGCAGUGGGGAAUUUUGGACAAUGGGGGAAACCCUGAUCCAGCCAUCCCGCGUGUAUGAUGAAGGCCUUCGGGUUGUAAAGUACUUUUGGCAGAGAAGCGGUAUCUGCAGAAUAAGCACCGGCUAACUACGUGCCAGCAGCCGCGGUAAUUC